rnacentral:piRNA from 1 species
UUAGGCUAUGCACACAGUUUU